AGACAGAACGCCCAGCCCCCCGUUCCCCUUUCCCCUCCUCGAUUCCUCUUCCCCUCCCUAUCCCUCUUCCUCGUCUACCGCCGCCACCACUAGCCGGAGCCCUCCGCCAUAGCCGCCGCCACCAGCGCCCUCCCCAAAAGCCUGCAACCCACUCCUCUCUCCUCCGCUCACCUUAUUCCCACCAACGGCGAGCUCCUCCCCAAAGCCAUGGUGUGAGCGAGGAGGCGACAGGUCCGGAGACUACCUCCUGGAUCAGGAGGAGAAAGAGAAGCCUAGGGGCAAAAUUAUGCGUCUUAGCAGUGGCUCGAGCGAUGUAGGACGGUGACGAGCGAGCGGCUUCUACAGGCGGUGGGAGCGGUGGUGGGCAUGGCUUGGGGACCGGCGCUUGCGUCAACCGACGGCGAGCUCGGCUGCUGCCAACCAGCCAAGGUCUUGGAUUCGUAAAGUGAUACAUCCCUGGAUCAAUUUAAGCUCUUGCAAUCUCCAAUCAGUUAAGAUGAGUCACAUGGCGACGCUCGAGAAGGUGAUGUCUGGCAGGGAUCAACACACUCUUUGCCACCCAGUACGGCCUGCCCAUGGUUGAUGGCAAGGGCAGGUGCAUUGGGUUGUCUCCAAGAAGCACAAGGCCAGGGCAUCCAAUUGGGUAACCCGGUGCAACUGCUGUUCCCCAAUGAGUUCUUUGUCAUAGAAUGACCUUUUGGUAGCAGUACUGAAUAAUAAAAAAAUUGUUGCUGUUUGCGCGUCUCCGUCGUCCCUCACUCUUGCGUUUCUUUCAAUCGACUGGGCGCGACGGUGGGUGAGGCGGGAUAGGUGGCACUGGGGCGCAGUGGAGUGGCUAGGCGAGAAUGUCUCGGCAGGGGACGGCGACCAUCGCAUCCGCUGAUAUGUUCACCAUCAUCAUUUAUAUGUAAUCUCAAAAACAAAGAAAUGCAUCCAGAUCUUGCAGGUUACACCAGGUUCUGUAGCUAUUAUUAUAUCUGUAAUUUCUACCUUUCAUGUAAUUUAUCACCAUUUAAUUACUAUAUGUGAUAGAUAUUUCUCUACUUAUUUUUAUCUUAUAUGAUGUGUUGUUCUACCUACGUAUGUUGCAUUCAGAGUACCGUUAGUUCUUGUAUGCUUGCAUCUUUGAUUGCGUAGACAUGCAGAGUGUCCUUUAAAUUUCUGUUAUUAUAGUUGGGAGGGUUACUCCUCAUUCUGGAGCCCCAAGUCAGAUUGAUAGAUUUUAUAUAUGUAAACAUUGAUGACCAUAUCAGUACCUUUGCCACUAUCUCUCUUUUGUUUGUGUAUUCCUACAGCCUGAUCAGCUUCAAAUACCUACUCUGACAGACAAUUCACGGUAAACUCGAUUAUUAACAUCCCUAUUCGUUGCAUUAAUUAUUUAUUUCUAGAGAUUUCUUUCUCAUAGCUGUUAUAUUCUUCCUUGCCCAUAAAUUAUUAUUUUGUUUAAUGAUAUCAAGCAUUCUUAUCUGGUAGAUCAGGCUGGUGACAAUGGCCAUCUGGAUGAGCAGGGGCAUGAUCUUUACAAUGAAGCACAAAGUUUGUCAGACAUUCUUGAUAAAGAGUCGAUAUAUCUAACUAUCUAAGCUACCAUUGAUGAAGUUACAAGAUGGUGAAAAUAUGCAGAAUGAUAUUUCAGUGGAUGAAGUGCUAGAAGAACCAGGAAGUUACUAGCAUCAAAAGGAAAAGAGAGCAAGGGGAUCUCAAACGUGUAAAAUCAUAUUGCCCAGUUAGAGAUUCCUAGGAGUUGUUUGUGCCAUUUU